UUAUCUUAGUGUAAAGAGCACAUAAAUUUUUGAUAUUUAAAGUAUAAAAGAUGACC
rnacentral:tRNA from 1 species